rnacentral:rRNA from 1 species
AACGAACGCUGGCGGCGCGCCUAAUACAUGCAAGUCGAGCGAGAAGGUGUAGCAAUACACUUGUAAAGCGGCGAACGGGUGAGGAAUACAUGGGUAAUCUACCAUCGAGUGGGGAAUAACCAACCGAAAGGUUGGCUAAUACCGCGUACGCCUCCGGGUCUUCGGGUUCGGAGGGAAAGCUGCACUGUGAGUGUAGCGCUCUUUGAUGAGCUCAUGUCCUAUCAGCUUGUUGGUAGGGUAACGGCCUACCAAGGCUUUGACGGGUAGCUGGUCUGAGAGGACGAUCAGCCACACUGGCACUGCGACACGGGCCAGACUCCUACGGGAGGCAGCAGUAAGGAAUAUUGCGCAAUGGGCGAAAGCCUGACGCAGCGACGCCGCGUGGGGGAUGAAGGUCUUCGGAUUGUAAACCCCUUUCGGGAGGGAAGAUGGAGCGAGCAAUCGUUCGGACGGUACCUCCAGAAGCAGCCACGGCCAACUUCGUGCCAGCAGCCG